rnacentral:rRNA from 1 species
GAUGAACGCUGGCGGCGUGCUUAACACAUGCAAGUCGAACGGGAUCCAAGGGGUGCUUGCACUUUUUGGUGAGAGAGGCGAACGGGUGAGUAACACGUGAGUAACCUGUCCUUUUCUUUGGGAUAAGCAUUCGAAAGGGUGUUUAAUACCUUAUGUUCUGUCUGCCUCGCAUGGGGUGGGUGGGAAAGGCUUUGGCCGGAUUUGGGUGGGCUCGCGGUCUAUCAGCUUGUUGGUGGGGUGAUGGCUUACCAAGGCUUUGACGGGUAGCCGGCCUGAGAGGGUGGUCGGUCACAUUGGGACUGAGAUACGGCCCAGACUCCUGCGGGAGGCAGCAGUGGGGGAUAUUGCACAAUGGGCGAAAGCCUGAUGCAGCGACGCCGCGUGGGGGAUGAAGGCCUUCGGGUUGUAAACUUCUUUUGCUCUGAACAAGGCAUGCCAGUGGGUGUGUUGAGUGUAGGGGUUGAUUAGCGCCGGCUAACUACGUG